rnacentral:rRNA from 1 species
CGGACGGGUGAGUAACGCGUGAGAAUCUACCUUCAGGUUGGGGACAACCACUGGAAACGGUGGCUAAUACCGAAUGUGCCGAGAGGUGAAAGGCUUGCUGCCUGAAGAAGAGCUUGCGUCUGAUUAGCUAGUUGGUAGUGUAAGAGACUACCAAGGCGACGAUCAGUAGCUGGUCUGAGAGGAUGAUCAGCCACACUGGGACUGAGACACGGCCCAGACUCCUACGGGAGGCAGCAGUGGGGAAUUUUCCGCAAUGGGUGAAAGCCUGACGGAGCAAUACCGCGUGAGGGAGGAAGGCUCUUGGGUUGUAAACCUCUUUUCUCAGGGAAGAACAGAAUGACGGUACCUGAGGAAUAAGCAUCGGCUAACUCCGUGCCAGCAGCCGCGGUAAUACGGAGGAUGCAAGCGUUAUCCGGAAUGAUUGGGCGUAAAGGGUCCGCAGGUGGCAUUGUAAGUCUGCUGUUAAAGAGUUUGGCUCAACCAAAUAAGAGCAGUGGAAACUACAAAGCUAGAGUGUGGUCGGGGCAGAGGGAAUUCCUGGUGUAGCGGUGAAAUGCGUAGAUAUCAGGAAGAACACCAGUGGCGAAGGCGCUCUGCUAGGCCGAGACUGACACUGAGGGACGAAAGCUAGGGGAGCGAAUGGGAUUAGAUACCCCAGUAGUC